UUUCCCCAACUUCUCUUAUCUUUGAAUCAAGUCUCCAAUCCAAAUCCCUAAUUCAUUCAAUUCCCUAUUUUCUCCCCCUUCAUCGUGACAAUUCCCCCCGCUUCAAUCGGUCAUUGUCUCCAAGGAUCAAACUGUGGAAAUUGUGAUUGUAGAACAGUAAAAUAUUCCUACGUUGCAUUCUCAACUCCCAUGUUAGCCCACUGAAUCAAGAGUUGUGUCGCAACCUUUUUGUCGAGCACUCGUAUGGGUAAAUCUUUAGAGUGCCAUCAGGAGCCAUUUCUGGAGAUUCGAUUGAAGCCACUCCUCCAAUUCGUUUGAUUUAGUAACGAGCAACUAACUUGAGGUUUUGUCAAAUGGCCACUGAGGUUUGCCUAUACGGCUGAAGCUUAAGGUUAAAAGAAUUGUACCAGUGCAACUAUCGAUUUCAGUAAGGGAG